rnacentral:tRNA from 2 species
AAUCUUGUAUUUUAAUAAAAAUAUAAAAUUGCAAGUUUUAAGAUGAAGUAAUUCUAAGAUUU